rnacentral:rRNA from 1 species
UACGUAGGGCGCAAGCGUUAUCCGGAAUUAUUGGGCGUAAAGAGCUCGUAGGCGGUCUGUCACGUCGGCUGUGAAAUCCCGAGGCUCAACCUCGGGUCUGCAGUCGAUACGGGCAAACUAGAGUAUUGCAGGGGAGACUGGAAUUCUCGGUGUAGCAGUGAAAAUGCGUAGAUAUCGAGAGGAACACCAGUGGCGAAGGCGAGUCCCUGGACAACACCUGACACUGAGGCACGAAAGCUAGGGGAGCAAACAGG